GGUUAAGCGACUAAGCGUACACGGUGGAUGCCCUGGCAGUCAGAGGCGAUGAAGGACGUGCUAAUCUGCGAAAAGCGUCGGUAAGGUGAUAUGAACCGUUACAGCCGGCGAUGUCCGAAUGGGGAAACCCAGUGCAAUUCGUUGCACUAUCGUUAACUGAAUACAUAGGUUAACGAGGCGAACCGGGGGAACUGAAACAUCUAAGUACCCCGAGGAAAAGAAAUCAACCGAGAUUCCCCCAGUAGCGGCGAGCGAACGGGGAGCAGCCCAG
rnacentral:rRNA from 3 species